CUGGGUGUAGUUCAGUGGUAGAGUGCAUGCUUUGUACACGUGAGGCCCUGGGUUUGAUUCCCAGAACCAGA
rfam:Ictidomys tridecemlineatus contig020521, whole genome shotgun sequence.